CCUACGGGUGGCAGCAGUGGGGAAUAUUGCGCAAUGGGCGAAAGCCGGAAGCAGCGACGCCGCGUGAGGGAGGAAGGUCUUGGGAGCGGAAACCUCUGGCAGCAGGGAAGAACGGUCACGGGGCUAAUCAGCAGUGAAUUGACGGUACCUGCAAAGGAAGCACCGGCCAACUCCGUGCCAGCAGCCGCGGCAAAACGGAGGGUGCGAGCGUUAAUCGGAAUUACUGGGCGGAAAGCGCUCGGAGGCGGUAUGUCAAGUGAAGGGUGAAAUCCCCGCGCUCAACUUGGGAAGUGCCUUUGAAACUGGCAAACUGGAGUGUGUGAGAGGUUAGUGGAAUUCCCGGUGU
rnacentral:rRNA from 1 species